rnacentral:lncRNA from 1 species
UUUUUUUUUUUUUUUUUUGUCAUUGAGAAGCCACUAGGUCUUAGUUCUCUGUUGCUUGGUAGCAAAUUAUCACAAACAAAAAAAUAGAAGGCUUAAAACAACCAGGAUUCAUCACUUCACAGUUUCUAUGGGUCAGUAGCCUGAGCUAGGCUGAGCUUUUUUGUGUGCCUAGCAUCUCAUAAGGUUGCAGCGUAGGUCUGCCAGGGCUGCAGUCUUAUCUGGAUGCUUGACUGAGAAAGGAUCUAUUUUCAAGCUCACUCAAAUUUUUGGCAAGAUUCAUUUUUCUUCACAAUUGUAUGACUAAGUGCCCCAGCUUCAGGAUGGGUAGUGGAUAGAGAUACCUUCCUUGUCAUGUUGGAUUUCCUAACAUGUCUGUUUACUCCAUCAAGCCACUAAGGAGUGUCCCUAGAGCCAGUCUGAAAGCAAGAUGGAGUAUUAUAUGAUAUAUCCAUAGGAGUGACAUCCCUUCACUUUCCUUUGCCAAAUUCUAUGUAUUAGAAGCAAGUUACACCUCCUGUCCACAAUCAAAAGGAGAUUAUUACACAAAGGUGUGAACCUCAGGAAGACCCGAGCUUGUUGGGUGUAUGUAUUCAUUAAAAACAGGUUUUAUCAGCCCUAGAUGAAAACAGCAGAAAUAAAACUUUCUCUGAAGUUUUAACAUCACUAGCAAAUGAUGACUCCGGUAUUUAAAAAUAAAUCACUCUUGUUCCCAGAAUUAAAACCUCUAUAUGAUGAAAAGUUUAUAUCCGGCUCCUUUUCUUGGCUCUUUGACUUCUAUUACACAGCUUAGCAGCAUGAGUCAGUUCAGCCCUGGCUUCAAGUCCCUUCCCAGCUUCAUCCCUGGCCUUCAAUCAGUAUUCACCACUGUAGCUAGUUGGCAGAUGAUGUGUUUCAGAUGCCUGCACUCCACACCUGCUCCUUGCCAGGGUUGAGGACACGCACCCGUGACACAGCCUCCUCAGGAGGUCCUGACGACUUGUGCUGAAGGUGAUCAGAGCACAGUUUGGUUUUAUACAUUUUAGGGAGACAUGAGACAUCAAUCAACAUAUGUAAAAAAAACCUUGAUUUGGUCUGGAAAGGCGGGACAACUGGAAGCAAAAGCUGGAAGACUUGAAGCAGGGAUGGGACUUCCAAGUCAUAGGUAGAGAAGAGACAAA